rnacentral:rRNA from 1 species
GAUGAACGCUGGCGGCGUGCCUAAUACAUGCAAGUCGAGCGAACAGACGAGGAGCUUGCUCCUCUGACGUUAGCGGCGGACGGGUGAGUAACACGUGGAUAACCUACCUAUAAGACUGGGAUAACUUCGGGAAACCGGAGCUAAUACCGGAUAAUAUAUUGAACCGCAUGGUUCAAUAGUGAAAGACGGUUUUGCUGUCACUUAUAGAUGGAUCCGCGCCGCAUUAGCUAGUUGGUAAGGUAACGGCUUACCAAGGCAACGAUGCGUAGCCGACCUGAGAGGGUGAUCGGCCACACUGGAAGUGAGACAGGGUCCAGACUCCGACGGGAGGCAGCAGUAGGGAAUCUUCCGCAAGGGGGGAAAGCCUGACGGAGCAACGCCGCGUGAGUGAUGAAGGUCUUCGGAUCGUAAAACUCUGUUAUUAGGGAAGAACAAAUGUGUAAGUAACUAUGCACGUCUUGACGGUACCUAAUCAGAAAGCCACGGCUAACUACGUG